AUCAACUUUCGAUGGUAGGAUAGAGGCCUACCAUGGUGGUAACGGGUAACGGGGUGUUAGGGCACGACACCGGAGAGGGAGCCUGAGAAACGGCUACCACAUCCAAGGAUGGCAGCAGGCGCGCAAAUUACCCAAUCCCGACACGGGGAGGUAGUGACAAUAAAUAACAAUACGGGGUUCUUUCGGAUUUUGUAAUUGGAAUGAGUACAAUUUAAAUCUUUUAACGAGGAACAAUUGGAGGGCAAGUCUGGUGCCAGCAGCCGCGGUAAUUCCAGCUCCAAUAGCGUAUAUUAAAGUUGCUGCAGUUAAAAAGCUCGUAGUUGAAUUUCGGGACCAUCAUGUCGGUCGUGCCUCGGUACGUACUGGUAUCGUUGGUUUCUCCCUUCUGACGAACCAUGAUGUCAUUUAUUUGGUGUCGUGGGAAAUCAGGACUGUUACUUUGAAAAAAUUAGAGUGUUUAAAGCAGGCUCACGCUUGAAUACAUUAGCAUGGAAUAAUGAAAUAGGACGUUUGAUUCUAUUUUGUUGGUUUCUAGGAUUGACGUAAUGAUUAAUAGGGAUAGUUGGGGGCAUUAGUAUUCAAUUGUCAGAGGUGAAAUUCUUGGAUUUAUUGAAGACUAACUACUGCGAAAGCAUUUGCCAAGGAUGUUUUCAUUAAUCAAGAACGAAAGUUAGGGGAUCGAAGACGAUCAGAUACCGUCGUAGUCUUAACCAUAAACUAUGCCGACUAGGGAUCGGAUGAUGUUAAUUUUUUAAUGACUCAUUCGGCGCCUUACGGGAAACCAAAGUGUUUGGGUU
rnacentral:rRNA from 1 species